CGGAGUGACUUUGCUGGAGGGGAUACACCCGUUCCCAUUCCGAAUACGGUAGUUAAGCCCUCUUAGGCCGAUGGUACUACACUGGCAACGGUGCGGGAGAGUAGGUUGUUGCUCCGG
rnacentral:rRNA from 2 species